AUGAUGCCCAUCCAGGUUUUUGUCCUGAGCCUGAAGGCUGUGACUACAGACAAGAUAUAUUUUGGCUCAGGAACCAGACUGACCGUUCUCGAGGAUCUGAAAACGGUGACUCCACCCAAGGUCUCCUUGUUUGAGCCAUCAGAAGCAGAGAUCGCAGACAAACAAAAGGCUACCCUCGUGUGCUUGGCCAGGGGCUUCUUCCCUGACCAUGUGGAGCUGAGCUGGUGGGUGAAUGGGAAGGAGAUCCGCAAUGGGGUCAGCACAGACCCUCAGGCCUACAAGGAAAGCAACAACAUCACCUACUGCCUGAGCAGCCGCCUGAGGGUUUCUGCUACCUUCUGGCACAAUCCUCGCAACCACUUCCGCUGCCAAGUGCAGUUCUAUGGGCUUACAGAGGAAGACAACUGGCCAGAGGACUCACCCAAACCUGUCACACAGAACAUCAGUGCGGAGGCCUGGGGCCGAGCAGACUGUGGAAUCACCUCAGCAUCCUAUCAUCAAGGGGUUCUGUCUGCCACCAUCCUCUAUGAGAUCCUACUGGGGAAGGCCACCCUGUAUGCUGUGCUAGUCAGUGCCCUGGUGCUGAUGACCAUGGUCAAGAAAAAAAAUUCCUGAGACAAACUUUAUGCAUCCUGAGCUGUUCUUUACCCUGGCCAUGGAUUUUCCCGCACCUUCUCCAAUCCCUGUUCCUAAGGACUUGUCUCCUCUCCCUCCAUGGAAAUCUACCAUUCCUCAUUAACCCCUUGACUCUGAAACAGACUAAGUGAAUAAAAAUAUUGAGUUUA